rnacentral:misc_RNA from 1 species
AAAGUGCGACAAGUGUCACGACUUGCAGAUUCCCGGGAGCUGACAAAUUUCUGAAUGCAACUUGCGGACCGACUUUCUGUCCUGUCGGCCAUGUGCUGCAGAGUGUUUUUGCCUUGUGCACUACAUCUUUUUGCUCAAAAAGGAUUCGGAGUUGACCACCAGAGACAGAGCAUUCUCUCUCCGUGGUCAGCUCUGAGAAGGGCACAAGCCCCCGCGAUCUCGGGAGCCGCCUGCCUUGACAACACCCCUUGGCAGACAAAGGCCCCAAAAUUGAAUCGCGCAUCUCCUUGUGCUUUUAUCCAUUUCUUGCUGACCUCUGCAGCAUAAGAAAACCCGCUGAACUUAA